rnacentral:lncRNA from 1 species
AAUUUAACCAUCAGAAGGGCAGUAGUACAAAAACUCCUUCAGUGAAUAUCUAACUACAUAAAUAUGCUAAAACCCUCAAAGACAACAGUUGCAAAAUACAAAUCUAACAACCAAGACGUCUUUUAUGGACUGUAUAAAUGAUUAUUCCUGUAGUAGACUGGCAGCAAAAUGCAUAAAACAAAAAUAUCUACCAUAGCAAACAGGAAUAUCUAAAAACAAAAGCAAUAUUAUGCAAAGUCAACAACUGAAGACCAUAAAAAUCUCAAUAUGCCAUCAUUCAGCAUGAUUCUACCGGAAUGUUGUAUUUGUAAAUAUAACUCAUUGUUGACAAUGGUAUUGUUAUGAAAUACUGGAUACAUAAUACAAAGCAGUGUUGCUUAAAUGGACGUUUUUUAAUAUUGUAAAUUAGCAAAUUAACAGUUCACCAUUCACUUUCAUAAUUUCAAAUAUUGUAAACUAAUAUUUGUAGGAAACAGACUUUUUGAGUAUGGAAAUUUUUAUAACAAGAGCACCGCCUUGCGGGUGCUGACGCUCAUCUGAUUUUUUUUGUAUAAUAGAAA